CACGUAGGCGGACUUUUAAGUCAGGGGUGAAAUCCUGGAGCUCAACUCCAGAACUGCCUUUGAUACUGGAAGUCUCGAGUUCGGGAGAGGUGAGUGGAACUGCGAGUGUAGAGGUGAAAUUCGUAGAUAUUCGCAAGAACACCAGUGGCGAAGGCGGCUCACUGGCCCGAUACUGACGCUGAGGUGCGAAAGCGUGGGGAGCAAACA
rnacentral:rRNA from 1 species